GCAAACUUGGUCAUUUAGAGGAAGUAAAAGUCGUAACAAGGUUUCCGUAGGUGAACCUGCGGAAGGAUCAUUAAUGAGUUUUUUAAAGUAAACUUGAUGCUGGUCGGUCUCUGGACUUGCAUGUGCUCAGUUUGCGCUCAUCCAUCUCACACCUGUGCACUUACUGAAGAGAGAGAGGGAGAGGGAGAGUGGUUUAUUCGUUUAUUCGUUUAUUCGUUUAUUCGUUUAUUCAUUUAUUCGUGUAUUCAACUCAAAGUCUUCAAUCUCUCUUUUGACUUUAUAAUAAACAACUAUAUUGUUUGUGUAGAAUGCAUUAGCCUCAUUGUAGGUGAAAUAACUAUACAACUUUCAACAACGGAUCUCUUGGCUCUCGCAUCGAUGAAGAACGCAGC
rnacentral:misc_RNA from 1 species